GGUCAGUCCCAGUGCAGUGAUGUUUACAACUAAUUGAUCAUGACCAGUUACAGACUUCUUUGUUCUUUCUCCACUCCCACUACUUCACUAGAACAGCCUUUA
ensembl:misc_RNA Y_RNA Y RNA